AGUGAACGCUAGCGGUAGGCCUAACACAUGCAAGUCGAACGGCAGCACAGUAAGAGCUUGCUCUUACGGGUGGCGAGUGGCGGACGGGUGAGGAAUACAUCGGAAUCUACUUUUUCGUGGGGGAUAACGUAGGGAAACUUACGCUAAUACCGCAUACGACCUACGGGUGAAAGCAGGGGAUCUUCGGACCUUGCGCGAUUGAAUGAGCCGAUGUCGGAUUAGCUAGUUGGCGGGGUAAAGGCCCACCAAGGCGACGAUCCGUAGCUGGUCUGAGAGGAUGAUCAGCCACACUGGAACUGAGACACGGUCCAGACUCCUACGGGAGGCAGCAGUGGGGAAUAUUGGACAAUGGGCGCAAGCCUGAUCCAGCCAUACCGCGUGGGUGAAGAAGGCCUUCGGGUUGUAAAGCCCUUUUGUUGGGAAAGAAAAGCAGCAGGUUAAUACCCCGCUGUUCUGACGGUACCCAAAGAAUAAGCACCGGCUAACUUCGU
rnacentral:rRNA from 1 species